rnacentral:rRNA from 1 species
GUGUCAGCAGCCGCGGUAAAACGUAGGAGGCGAGCGUUAUCCGGAUUCAUUGGGCGUAAAGCGCGCGUAGGCGGUUGGUUAAGUCGGACGUGAAAGCCCCUGGCUCAACUGGGGGAGGUCGUUCGAUACUGGCCGGCUUGAGGGUGAGAGAGGGGAGUGGAAUUCCCGGUGUAGCGGUGGAAUGCGUAGAGAUCGGGAGGAACACCAGUGGCGAAAGCGGCUCCCUGGCUCACCCCUGACGCUGAGUGCGCGAAAGCGUGGGGAGCAAACGGGAUUAGAUACCCCGGUAGUCCACGCCUUAAACGAUGAGGGCUAGGUGUUGGUGGGAUUACCCAUCCGUGCCGAAGCUAACGCGUUAAGCCCUCCGCCUGGGGACUACGAACGCAAGUUUAAA